rnacentral:rRNA from 1 species
ACGAACGCUGGCGGCGUGCCUAACACAUGCAAGUCGAACGGAACUUUUUUAAAAGAUUUCUUCGGAAUGAAUUUGAUUAAGUUUAGUGGCGGACGGGUGAGUAACGCGUGGGUAACCUGCCUUGUACUGGGGGAUAGCAGCUGGAAACGGCUGGUAAUACCGCAUAAGCGCACAAUGUUGCAUGACAUGGUGUGAAAAACUCCGGUGGUAUAAGAUGGACCCGCGUCUGAUUAGCUAGUUGGUGAGAUAACAGCCCACCAAGGCGACGAUCAGUAGCCGACCUGAGAGGGUGACCGGCCACAUUGGGACUGAGACACGGCCCAGACUCCUACGGGAGGCAGCAGUGGGGAAUAUUGCACAAUGGAGGAAACUCUGAUGCAGCGACGCCGCGUGAGUGAAGAAGUAAUUCGUUAUGUAAAGCUCUAUCAGCAGGGAAGAUAGUGACGGUACCUGACUAAGAAGCUCCGGCUAAAUACGUG